UACGUAGGGUGCGAGCGUUGUCCGGAAUUACUGGGCGUAAAGAGCUCGUAGGUGGUUUGUCGCGUUGUCCGGUGAAAACUCACAACUCAAUUGUGGGCGUGCGGGCGAUACGGGCAGACUGGAGUACUGCAGGGGAGACUGGAAUUCCUGGUGUAGCGGUGGAAUGCGCAGAUAUCAGGAGGAACACCGGUGGCGAAGGCGGGUCUCGUGGGCAGUAACUGA
rnacentral:rRNA from 1 species